UUGUUUUCACGGCACACAAGACGAAAUGCAGGGGGGUCAGUCGCAAGCGUAAUUGAAUCGACCGUUCUUAAUGCCCGAUAAAUCUCUGGAAGAAGAGUCACGUGUGUGUGUGCACGCGUGUAGGUGACACGCGACAGCCACGAGCCCAUCAAUCGUCUUGGCACCAUACGGGUGCAUCUACCGGUGUCUAGUGUGUAUCAAUUGCACCAUAAAGUCCCCAUGUGCGGUAAGAUUUGUCUCUAUGUUUGCAGAAAAAAGGUAGGGACCUUGCAAUAUCGUAAUUACUGUACUAUAAUCAAUGCCCGAUCGCACAUUAGAUAUUUAUCAAACACGAAUUCUUGAUACAAAUGUUCAUUCUUGUAUGAAUGUGCCUUUUACUAAAUGGCUUCUUUCCAUUUAGCGAUUUUCGGCCACGCUGCACCGUUCUGCUCGAAAGAUAUUACUUCAGUGUUUCAUUGACGUUUAAUUAAUUCGCUAUUUAAGUCCUGUCGAUCUACAAUUCGCUUACCAUGUUCUGUAAAUGCCGCCUGCCGGUAACGCUCGUUGGAAACGAACCUUAUUGUGCGCGACGAUCGUUUCCGUGACGUCACGUGACACGGCCAUUUCGUUUCCGCGUAGUAGAUCGGCGUGUCGACCGGACAGCUUUUGAUGAACGAGUACAUAGUGAUUUUGUGAGGGGUUGUUUCCUUUAUCGAAUCGAUCGACGAUUCAGAAACUGAUAAAUGUUGUUGAAAAGUGAAUAUUACAGGUGUUUCGUGAUCUGAUGAAGUUUGGUGAGAAGUUUUGUGUAGUGAGGUUAAAGUGACUGCUACGUUUCCAACAGUUUUGUUAAUCAUCUAAAACACAUGUUACAUACCUAGCAGAUGCAAUUUAAUAACAUUGUUAAACAUUUAUGGACAUUUAUUUUCCUAACUGCUGUUCUUGAAAACGAGAAGAAACAACAGAAAAUGUGAACACAGUGGAAAACGCAAUACCCUCUCCCCAUCUUUAACCAUCAGUUAAUGGAUUAACAGCAGUAGCAGAGGCAGAUUAGCCGCAACGAAAUGAAACGAAACCACCGCCAUUAGCCAAAGACUGGUGGCGCCGUUGGUGGUUAAACUGCAACGAAACUGGGAAGAAUAAAGCUGACCAACGGCGUUGGAAAUCUCGUUAUGCCGUUAAUAGGGCAACGAUUAUCUUUGCAAUGGAAAUUUCACUGUCUACCGUGUUCCUCGGACAUAUUUGGGAACGUCGCGAACCGUGCUGUGCCGGCAUUAAUUCCACGGAAGGGAAGCAGCCGUGUACGCACAGCCGAAACGAUAAUUGGUGUUACGCGAGAAUUACGAGCAGCCGGACAAUAAACACCGGUCGAAUCGACCAGCCCGAUAUCCAUUCGGCCGUCAUAACGUUAUUAAAGCACGCGACACGCUAUUACUUAACAGUGGUUAGUUAACAAUUCGGAGGAGAUCAUUAGGCGACAAUCAUACGGUCGAGCGACCCGAGAUAAUAGUUCAACGCACCCGAUAUCAUCAAACUGUGCCGUCGAGUUGUUGUAAUGUUAAUAAUUAGGCUAUCGGCCAGAGAUAUGAUAUGGGAAUUCCGAUUUUCAAUCAGAUUGGAUCUGUAAAGCCCUAAUGAGGGAAAGGCAACCUAAAGCCUUCAAUAAUGGUUUCGAAGAUACGAAGAUUAUUAUAAACAUCUAUUAAGUGAAUCUUUAAGAAGAAAUACAAAAUGGUCGCUAGAAUAUUAAAGCUUUGCAAUUGUUAUUUAAAAAGAAACAUGUUUGAUUUCUUUUUCUGAGAAAUGUACCUGAGGAUAUUGCUACGAAAGAAUGAGAUUUUAAGGGAAUUGAUUUUUUUUUUUUUU